UUAUAAGCUUAAAUUUGUAUUAGUUUACCCCAUUUAUCUAGAAUCUGACAUUAUCUGACUCCAUUUUCUUUGUUAUACUACUGAGUUUUUUAAGUUUUUAGGGUAAACUACUAGAAAUUUAAAGCCCUGACGGGCUUGUUAGUCUUCCUUCCAUAUAUCUUUAUAUUUAUAAAAACUGUAAAUGUGUACGGGAAAAAUAAAAUAUCUAUCUACUAUACGUUCUGAAAGAACUUUUACCCGGGCUUUAAUUAGCCUUUCUCACGCCGCCAUUUUUGGGUGGCUUUUCAGACGAAGUCUGCGAGAUAAGUCCAUAUAACAGCGACUUUUUAUAAUUUCUUUGACAAAUGAUGGUAAAUUUGCUUUGUGAAUGGUUAGUUUAUUUUGAAAAAGUGCUUUUCACAUUGUUUUAAUUGUCUGCAUUGGUUAACGAGAAUU